CUUGACCUCAAAUCGGGUGAGACUACCCGCUGAACUUAAGCAUAUCAAUAAGCGGAGGAAAAGAAACUAACAAGGAUUCCCCUAGUAACUGCGAGUGAAGCGGGAAAAGCUCAAAUUUAAAAUCUGAUGGUCUUUGGCCGUCCGAGUUGUAAUUUAGAGAAGCGUUUUCCGCGCUGGACCGUGCACAAGUCUCCUGGAAUGGAGCGUCAUAGAGGGUGAGAAUCCCGUCUUUGGCACGGACACGCCAGGGCUUUUGUGAUGCGCUCUCGAAGAGUCGAGUUGUUUGGGAAUGCAGCUCAAAAUGGGUGGUGAACUCCAUCUAAAGCUAAAUAUUGGCGAGAGACCGAUAGCGAACAAGUACCGUGAGGGAAAGAUGAAAAGCACUUGGAAAGAGAGUGAAACAGUACGUGAAAUUGUUGAAAGGGAAACGCUUGAAGUCAGUCGCGUCGACCGAGACUCAGCCUUGCCUUGGCUUGGUGUACUUCUCGGCUGACGGGUCAGCAUCAAUUUCGCCCCUUGGAUAAUGGCGAGGGAAAUGUGACACCUUUACGGUGUGUUAUAGUCUCUCGUCGCAUGCAAGGGUUGGGAUUGAGGAACUCAGCACGCGCCUUUGGGCGUCGGGGCUUUGCCCACGAUACGUGCUUAGGAUGUUGGCGUAAUGGCUUUAAACGACCCGUCUUGAAACACGGACCAAGGAGUCUAACAUGCGUGCGAGUGUUCGGGUGGAAAACCCGUGCGCGCAAUGAAAGUGAAAGUUGGGACCUCUGUCGUGGAGGGCACCGACGCCCGGACCAGACCUUCUGUGACGGCUCUGCGGUAGAGCAUGUAUGUUAGGACCCGAAAGAUGGUGAACUAUGCCUGAAUAGGGUGAAGCCAGAGGAAACUCUGGUGGAGGCUCGUAGCGAUUCUGACGUGCAAAUCGAUCGUCAAAUUUGGGUAUAGGGGCGAAAGACUAAUCGAACCAUC
rnacentral:rRNA from 1 species